rnacentral:misc_RNA from 1 species
AAAGCCUGUCGCACCAACUCUGUGUGGGAAACCGCUGGAGGGCCCGUGCUAACUACACGGGGUGGUAACAGACGACACGGAUACCUCCACGCCUUUUUUGGUGUAGAUACCAUGGGCAAUCCGCAGCGAAGCCUCUAAGUCCGGCCGCCGGAUAUGAGGAACGUUCACAGACUAAGUGGAAGUGGGUGGAGCGUUCGCCGCUCUGCUUAAGAUAUAGUCGGUCCCCUUGGGAAACUAAGGGGGUGAGUACACUGCUCGAAAUUUAAACUUGAGCGCAUCUCGGAUAGCGCUCGUGUUAGAAUUUCGGGACCGUCGAUUGCCUCGCGGUUCGACGGCUCUUAAAACGUUCCGUAGGUGAACCUGCGGAAGGAUCAUUACAGAAAGUAAACGCGGAUCAAACCGCGAACUUUUAAACCUUUGACGAUUGACUCAUGUUGCCUCGGCGGGUUCUCUCGCCAGAGGAUACAUCAAAACUCCUGUUUUAACGGUGUUGUCUGAGCUACAAGCAACGAAUCAAAACUUUCAACAACGGAUCUCUUGGUUCUGGCAUCGAUGAAGAACGCAGCGAAAUGCGAUAAGUAGUGUGAAUUGCAGAAUUCAGUGAAUCAUCUAAUCUUUGAACGCACAUUGCGCCCCUUGGUAUCCCGAGGGGCAUGCCUGUUCGAGCGUCAUUUCACCACUCAAGCCUGGCUUGGUGUUGGGCGACGUCCCCUUCACGGACGCGCCUCGAAACGCUCGGCGGCGUGGCACCGGCUUUAAGCGUAGCAGAAUCUUUCGCUUCAAAAGUUGGGGCCCCGUCUGCCGGAAGACCUACUCGCAAGGUUGACCUCGGAUCAGGCAGGGAUACCCGCUGAACUUAAGCAUAUCAAUAAGCGGAGGAA